rnacentral:rRNA from 1 species
UAGGGAAUCUUCGGCAAUGGGGGCAACCCUGACCGAGCAACGCCGCGUGAGUGAAGAAGGUUUUCGGAUCGUAAAGCUCUGUUGUAAGUCAAGAACGAGUGUGAGAGUGGAAAGUUCACACUGUGACGGUAGCUUACCAGAAAGGGACGGCUAACUACGUGCCAGCAGCCGCGGUAAUACGUAGGUCCCGAGCGUUGUCCGGAUUUAUUGGGCGUAAAGCGAGCGCAGGCGGUUUGAUAAGCCUGAAGUUAAAGGCUGUGGCUCAACCAUAGUUCGCUUUGGAAACUGUCAAACUUGAGUGCAGAAGGGGAGAGUGGAAUUCCAUGUGUAGCGGUGAAAUGCGUAGAUAUAUGGAGGAACACCGGUGGCGAAAGCGGCUCUCUGGUCUGUAACUGACGCUGAGGCUCGAAAGCGUGGGGAGCGAACAGGAUUAGAUACCCUGGUAGUCCACGCCGUAAACGAUGAGUGCUAGGUGUUGGAUCCUUUCCGGGAUUCAGUGCCGCAGCUAACGCAUUAAGCACUCCGCCUGGGGAGUACGACCGCAAGGUUG